UUGUGUGUAGAUUGAUGAGGAGGGGAAACAAUUGAAUACAUUUUUGAAUAAGGCUGUGACAUAACUAAAUGUGGAAAUAGUCAAGGGGUCUGAAUACCUUCCGAAGGCACUGUAAGUAUUGAAAGAGAGAAGUGUUUAUAAUGGGUCCAACUGUUUAAAAAAGAGAACGUGGGACUGGGCUAAAUACAAAAGGAACUACAUUAACAUUAGCAUUCAAUGUGAGAGGUUUAGGCCUAGAUUCAAUCAGACCAAUUGUUAAUAGGCGCUAGCUGACACCCCAUAACUAGCCGACAAACCCAGAAUUAUUCCAAACACAUUUAAAAAGAAAGGGAAAGUCAUUGAGUUACAUCUCAGAAAACACAACACUAAAGUAUACAACAUAAUAUUACUUCAAUACAAAGCAAAAAUGUAAUAGCCUAACAAUUUCAAGUGAUUAGGUGAUCUUCUAGGUCUAUAUAGCAGUAACCUCAAGGGCUGGCGGGGAGGCCAAGAGUACUAAUUUUAUAGGCCUAUAUAGCAGUAACCUCAAGGGCUGGAGGUGGGGACAAGAAUACUGAUCUGGAGGAAGGUGAUGCUAUAGGCCUAUGUAGCAGUAACCUUAAGGGCUGGAGGUGGGGACAAGAAUACUGAUCUGGAGGAAGGUGAUGCUAUAGGCCUAUGUAGCAGUAACCUUAAGGGCUGGAGGUGGGGACAAGAAUACUGAUCUGGAGGAAGGUGAUGCUAUAGGCCUAUGUAGCAGUAACCUCAAGGGCUGGAGGUGGGGACAAGAAUACUGAUCUGGAGGAAGGUGAUGCUAUAGGCCUAUGUAGCAGUAACCUUAAGGGCUGGAGGUGGGGACAAGAAUACUGAUCUGGAGGAAGGUGAUGCUAUAGGCCUAUGUAGCAGUAACCUCAAGGGCUGGAGGUGGGGACAAGAAUACUGAUCUGGAGGAAGGUGAUGCUAUAGGCCUAUGUAGCAGUAACCUCAAGGGCUGGAGGUGGGGACAAGAAUACUGAUCUGGAGGAAGGUGAUGCUAUAGGCCUAUGUAGCAGUAACCUUAAGGGCUGGAGGUGGGGACAAGAAUACUGAUCUGGAGGAAGGUGAUGCUAUAGGCCUAUGUAGCAGUAACCUUAAGGGCUGGAGGUGGGGACAAGAAUACUGAUCUGGAGGAAGGUGAUGCUAUAGGCCUAUGUAGCAGUAACCUUAAGGGCUGGAGGUGGGGACAAGAAUACUGAUCUGGAGGAAGGUGAUGCUAUAGGCCUAUGUAGCAGUAACCUUAAGGGCUGGAGGUGGGGACAAGAAUACUGAUCUGGAGGAAGGUGAUGCUAUAGGCCUAUGUAGCAGUAACCUUAAGGGCUGGAGGUGGGGCCAAGAAUACUGAUCUGGAGGAAGGUGAUGCUAUAGGCCUAUGUAGCAGUAACCUUAAGGGCUGGGGGUAGGGACAAGAAUACUGAUCUGGAGGAAGGUGAUGCUAUAGGCCUAUGUAGCAGUAACCUUAAGGGCUGGAGGUGGGGCCAAGAAUACUGAUCUUGAGGAAGGUGAUGCUAUAGGCCUAUGUAGCAGUAACCUUAAGGGCUGGAGGUGGGGACAAGAAUACUAAUAGGAUAUCAUCAGGUCCCAGCUGGAAUAAAAUUAGUUGGUUGAACCUUGAAAGGUUUACUUAAUUUUGUCUAAUUUUAGGAAAAUUAGUUGGGCCAAAGAGAGGCUGAGGGAGGGUUGAUAGAUUUCCAAUCCAAUAUAAUCCUUCUGUGUGCCAACAGGGAGGCAAAGGCAAUGGCAUCUAGCAGUCUAUUGGUCAGGGAAGGAUUGUUGUUUGGUAAAAAUAGCAAUUUCUGCACUAGGCUGCCACUCUAUAUCAAAUGCUUCAGAAAGUGUUUUAAAUAUAGUGAACCAGUAGUCUGCCAGACAGGGACAAAACCACAUUAUGUGAGUCAAGUGUGCCAAAGAGCUUUUACACCUGUCACAUGUACCAUCAAUAUUUGGGUAGAAUUUGGAGAGCCUGGCCUUACUGAAAUGGAUACAGUGAAGUAUAAAGCUGAGCCGGACACAAGAGGAGCUUCCAUUUACCCCACGCAAGGCACUAUUCCAGACUUCGUCCAAGGUCUCUCAACCAAGUUCCUUUUCCCGCCCAGAUCUAAUUUUAUUAAGUGAUGGGUUAUCAAAGGACAUGAUUAUCUCAAAAAUACCUACAUUUGGAAAUACCUAAAUACACUUGAAUGGGGUAGAUUGCCAAUGUUGAUGACCUCGCUAUCAAAUGUAAAGGUGCCAUCAAUAUAAAGGCCAUUAAACUUAGUAAGGCCAUUCCUCUGCCACAGACUUCAAGCUGAAUCCAGUUUGGCUGAAAGGAAGAGGUGAUUAUUACAUAUAGGAACUUAGAGAAUUCACAGAAUUUAAAGUGUUGACGGAAUUAAGGCCACAUUUUAAGAAUAUUGACAACAAUUGGAUUGGAUGUGUAGCGCGAAGCUGAAAUAGUAAGAUUGGAGGUGACUAAAGCUGACAAAGAGGAAGAGAAAUAGGGGUUGACUUCUGUUUGACACAAGUCAGUUUCUGGGGUGCGAAGCCAGUAAACAAUAUUUUGUAUAGUCGAUGACCAGCAAUAAUGCAUAAAGUUAGGAAGGACUUGUGUGUUCUAUCUCUCUGGAGGAAUGCUUUAUGUAUUCUUGGACUCCCACCGCUCCCCCCAAAAAGAUAUAAGCUUAUCCACUAAAGUGAAAAAAGGCUUGGGUAGAAAAAUGGCUGAUGUUUUGGCAGUGUCGGAGGUGUAGCUGCAUUAGAGCAGUCAAAUCGGUGAGCAGCUGCUCUUGAUCACUGUCAUGAAGCCACACCGUCCCACUGGCGUUAGAAGGACAGAAUAAGAAAGUGUAGGCUAUAUAGAAAUAAUGAUGCUCUAAUUGAAAAUCAUUAAUCUAAAUAAUGAGGAUUUCUAUCAGCCUAAUCGAGGUGAAGAUUACAUCUCCAUUCUAGUGUUCGAACUUGUAAACAAGGCUACAUGGGAUUUCUCUUAAUGUGACGCUGUGCAGCCAAUAGCAAUGUCCGAUGGAGGUAUAAUGCCAGGAGCCCUUGUGGAUUUGACAGCUCUAACGCAGUUCACCUCCGACACCGCCAAAACAACCUCUAUGCAGAUGUCGGCUAAAGUGGAUCUGAUGAAUAGAGCAAUAAGAGAGUAAGGUUCAAACUUAAUUUCAAUUUACUUCACUUCUAGUCAUUCACAGUAUGUAAUAUGAAGGAUUCUCAUUACAAAUUUGAUUUGUGUUUUGUACAGAAGAAUACUGAAAGAUCAUUGAAAUAAAGUGUCCUUAAUUGCCAAGUA